CGAUGGUACAUGGCUAAAAAUGUAGAUGGGGAUUUUGAUAAAUUGAAAGAAUUGAUAUUAGUGGAGGACUUUAAAAGAUGUGUUCCAGCUGAAUUAACAACAUAUUUAAAUGAAAAGGCAGUGGAAACUUUACAAGAAACUGCUAGGUUGGCAGAUGAUUAUGCUUUAACCCAUAAAUCCAAAUGGGGACAACCUAAAACCUUUCAAAAGAGUUACAAGGACAAUCCAGGUAAACUGGAGAUUAAAUUGGGAGGUAAUCAAAAAGGAAAAGAUGAAAAGAAGCCAGGGCUGGAGAAACCUGUUGAGCGUACUUGUUAUUACUGUAGGAAACCUGGCCACGUGAUAUCUAAUUGUGCCCUUUUGAAGAAAAAGAAGGAAGCUGGGCCCAAUGCUUGCUUUCAGGCAAUUAAAAAUCAAAAAGGUUUAGGAGAUGCUGUUAAAGACCAGUCCUUGCAAGAGGGAAAAGCGGAAAAGUUGGAGGAGGUGAGAAAAGAAUUCCGUUCGUAUGUAUCAGAGGGUUUUGUUUCACUGAAUGAUGAGUCACCCCAGGUGCCAGUGAAAAU